rnacentral:rRNA from 1 species
UUUAUUGGAGAGUUUGAUCCUGGCUCAGGACGAACGCUGGCGGCGUGCCUAAUACAUGCAAGUCGAGCGGACCUUUUAAAAGCUUGCUUUUGAAAGGUCAGCGGCGGACGGGUGAGUAACACGUGGGCAACCUGCCUGUAAGACUGGGAUAACUUCGGGAAACCGGAGCUAAUACCGGAUAAUAUAAGGAACCUCCUGGUUCUUUAUUGAAAGAUGGUUUYGGCUAUCACUUACAGAUGGGCCCGCGGCGCAUUAGCUAGUUGGUGAGGUAAUGGCUCACCAAGGCGACGAUGCGUAGCCGACCUGAGAGGGUGAUCGGCCACACUGGGACUGAGACACGGCCCAGACUCCUACGGGAGGCAG